GUGCCCUUUUAAAGUUUCCAUAGCACUUUAAGAGGCUACCACAGAAGGGUCAAGGAAAUUGCCAUAAAACCCAGAGAAGAGGUCACAAAUCUACUCUUUGGACCCUAUCUGGACUGACAAGU